ACGGUACAACGAGUCGCAAGCUCGCGAGAGUAAGCUAAUCUCUUAAAGCCGUUCUCAGUUCGGACUGUAGGCUGCAACUCGCCUACACGAAGUCGGAAUCGCUAGUAAUCGCGGAUCAGCAUGCCGCGGUGAAUACGUUCCCGGGCCUUGUACACACCGCCCGUCAAGCCAUGGGAGCCGGGGGUGCCUGAAGUUCGUGACCGCAAGGAGCGACCUAGGGCAAAACUGGUGACUGGGGCUAAGUCGUAACAAGGUACC
rnacentral:rRNA from 1 species